UUCCAGUUUCCAUAUGAUCACCGAAGUUAAGCAAUAUCAGGCCUGGUCAGGACCUAGAUGGGUGACUGCUUGGAAAGACCAGGUACUGUAAG